GAGCGCUCGUAGCAAUACGGGAGCGGCAGACGGNGAGAGUAACACGUGGGAACGUACCCCUCGGUUCGGAAUAACCCAGGGAAACUUGGGCUAAUACCGGAUACGUCCGCAAGGAGAAAGAUUUAUCGCCGAGGGAUCGGCCCGCGUCCGAUUAGCUAGUUGGUGGGGUAACGGCCCACCAAGGCGACGAUCAGUAGCUGGUCUGAGAGGAUGAUCAGCCUCACUGGGACUGAGACACGGCCCAGACUCCUACGGGAGGCAGCAGUGGGGAAUAUUGGACAAUGGGCGCAAGCCUGAUCCAGCCAUGCCGCGUGGGUGAUGAAGGCCCUAGGGUUGUAAAGCCCUUUCGGCGGGGAAGAUAAUGACGGUACCCGCAGAAGAAGCCCCGGCUAACUUCGUG
rnacentral:rRNA from 1 species